rnacentral:rRNA from 1 species
UACAGAGGGUGCAAGCGUUGUUCGGAAUUACUGGGCGUAAAGGGCGCGUAGGUGGCCUUGCAAGUCAGAUGUGAAAUCUCAGAGCUUAACUCUGAACGUGCAUUUGAAACUGCAAGGCUAGAGUGCAGUAGAGGUUGGUGGAAUUCCCAGUGUAGAAGUGAAAUUCGUAGAUAUUGGGAGGAACACCGGUGGCGAAGGCGGCCAACUGGGCUGCAACUGACGCUGAGGCGCGAAAGCUAGGGGAGCAAACGGG